AUACGAAGGGUGCAAGCGUUACUCGGAAUUACUGGGCGUAAAGCGUGCGUAGGUGGUUGUUUAAGUCUGUCGUGAAAGCCCUGGGCUCAACCUGGGAAUGGCGAUGGAAACUGGGCGACUAGAGUGUGGCAGAGGGUAGUGGAAUUCCUGGUGUAGCAGUGAAAUGCGUAGAGAUCAGGAGGAACAUUCGUGGCGAAGGCGACUGCCUGGGCCAACACUGACACUGAGGCACGAAAGCGUGGGGAGCAAACAGGAUUAGAUACCCUGGUAGUCCACGCUCUAAACGAUGCGAACUGGAUGUUGGGUGCAAUUUGGCACGCAGUAUCGAAGCUAACGCGUUAAGUUCGCCGCCUGGGGAGUACGGUCGCAAGACUGAAACUCAAAUGAAUUGACGGGG
rnacentral:rRNA from 1 species